rnacentral:rRNA from 1 species
UACGAAGGGGGCUAGCGUUGCUCGGAAUCACUGGGCGUAAAGGGUGCGUAGGCGGGUCUUUAAGUCAGGGGUGAAAUCCUGGAGCUCAACUCCAGAACUGCCUUUGAUACUGAAGAUCUUGAGUUCGGGAGAGGUGAGUGGAACUGCGAGUGUAGAGGUGAAAUUCGUAGAUAUUCGCAAGAACACCAGUCGGCGAAGGCGGAGCUC